rnacentral:rRNA from 1 species
AUUGAACGCUGGCGGCGUGCUUAACACAUGCAAGUCGAACGGAGUGGCGAACGGGUGAGUAACACGUGGGUGACCUGCCCUCCACUUCGGGGGAAGCCUGGGAAACUGGGUCUAAUAACGGAUAGUGUGGGAUGGGCCCGCGGCCUAUAAGCUUGUUGGUGGGGUAAUGGCCUACCAAGGCGGCGACGGGUAGCCGGCCUGAGAGGGUGGACGGCCACAUUUGGACUGAGACACGGCCCAGACUGCUACGGGAGGCAGCAGUGGGGAAGAUUGCACAAUGGGCGGAAGCCUGAUGCAGCGACGCCGCGUGUGUGAUGACGGCCUUCGGGUUGUAAACUCCUUUCACCAUCGACGCGGUAGAUGGAGAAGAAGCACCGGCUAACUACGUGCCAGCAGCCGCGGUAAUAC